rnacentral:rRNA from 1 species
GAUGAACGCCGGCGGCGUGCCUAAUACAUGCAAGUCGAGCGAACAGACGAGGAGCUUGCUCCUCUGACGUUAGCGGCGGACGGGUGAGUAACACGUGGAUAACCUACCUAUAAGACUGGGAUAACUUCGGGAAACCGGAGCUAAUACCGGAUAAUAUAUUGAACCGCAUGGUUCAAUAGUGAAAGACGGUUUUGCUGUCACUUAUAGAUGGAUCCGCGCCGCAUUAGCUAGUUGGUAAGGUAACGGCUUACCAAGGCAACGAUGCGUAGCCGACCUGAGAGGGUGAUCGGCCACACUGGAACUGAGACACGGUCCAGACUCCUACGGGAGGCAGCAGUAGGGAAUCCUCCGCAAUGGGCGAAAGCCUGACGGAGCAACGCCGCGUGAGUGAUGAAGGUCUUCGGAUCGUAAAACUCUGUUAUUAGGGAAGAACAAAUGUGUAAGUAACUAUGCACGUCUUGACGGUACCUAAUCAGAAAGCCACGGCUAACUACGUG